GACAGAGGGUGCAAACGUUGUUCGGAAUUACUGGGCGUAAAGCGAGUGUAGGCGGUUUCCUAAGUCAGGUGUGAAAGCCCCGGGCUCAACCCGGGAAGUGCACUUGAAACUGGGAGGCUAGAGUAUCGGAGAGGUUGGUGAAAUUCUCGGUGUAGAGGUGAAAUUCGUAGAUAUCGAGAGGAACACCGGUGGCGAAGGCGGCCAACUGGACGAAUACUGACGCUGAGACUCGAAAGCGUGGGAGCAAACAGG
rnacentral:rRNA from 1 species